rnacentral:rRNA from 1 species
ACGGGAGGCAGCAGUGGGGAAUAUUGGGCAAUGGGCGCAAGCCUGACCCAGCAACGCCGCGUGAAGGAAGAAGGCUUUCGGGUUGUAAACUUCUUUUGUAAGGGACGAGAAGAAGACGGUACCUUAUGAAUAAGCCACGGCUAACUACGUGCCAGCAGCCGCGGUAAUACGUAGGGGGCAAGCGUUAUCCGGAUUUACUGGGUGUAAAGGGAGCGUAGACGGUAAAGCAAGUCUGAAGUGAAAUCAUAGGGCUUAACCCUGUAAUUGCUUUGGAAACUGUUUAACUAGAGUACCGGAUGGGUAGGCGGAAUUCCUGGUGUAGCGGUGAAAUGCGUAGAUAUCAGGAAGAACACCGGUGGCGAAGGCGGCCUGCUGGACGGUAACUGACGUUGAGGCUCGAAAGCGUGGGGAGCAAACAGGAUUAGAUACCCUGGUA